CGUCCUAUUAGCUAGUUGGUGAGGUAAUGGCUCACCAAGGCUACGAUGGGUAGGGGUUCUUAGUGGAAGGUCCCCCACACUGGCACUGAGAUACGGGCCAGACUCCUACGGGAGGCAGCAGUAGGGAAUAUUGGUCAAUGGGCGCAAGCCUGAACCAGCCAUGCCGCGUGCAGGAUGAAGGCUCUCUGAGUUGUAAACUGCUUUUGUACAGGAGCAAAAAAAUCCCUGCGGGGGUUCUUGAGAGUACUGUAAGAAUAAGCACCGGCUAAUUCCGUGCCAGCAGCCGCGGUAAUACGGGAGGUGCAAGCGUUAUCCGGUUUUAUUGGGUUUAAAGGGUGCGUAGGCGGCUUAUUAAGUCAGUUGUGAAAUCCUAGUGCUUAACGCUAGAACUGCGAUUAAUACUAUU
rnacentral:rRNA from 1 species